UAUUAUAAGCAUAGUGUAUUUCAAGUGACCUGUCCCAGAAUGUAAAUUGUGACAAAAAUGAUUCACUCUAAAAUUAAAAACACUCAGGUUUCUCAUAUUCUACAAGCUUUUGAUAAAAUGUGUUGUAUACAAAACAGCAUUUACUCAAAAAUAUUUUUGUUAAAUGUAUUUAGGCUCAUGUUUGUUCCAGUCCAAUACAAGGUUUUUAAACUAUUCAGUAAUUUAGAAAGACAAAUUGCAAUAGCACAAAGACCACAUCUGUAGUAAUUUUCUAGAGGCAGUGCAUGGAUUGAUAAUGUUUGUUUUAAAUUUUAUUUUUAAUUUUCACACCCAUCUCUUUCUCAGAUGGUGUGCAACAAAGUAUUAAUAUAUAAAAAUAUAUAAACGUUAACAAAGUUAAAGAGUAAAGGGUGAUAAAACAUCUUUGAAAUGAAUCAAAAGGGAGGGCUUUCAGGGCACCAGCCAGCCCUGUGUUCCUCUGGGUCCCCCACAGAGCAAUGUUUUAACUCUUUUUCAGGCGGCCAGGAUAAUCCUGACCUACCUCACCUUUGGGGUGGGGGUGAAGAUACUGAAAGUUCUUUAACUGAUUGACAUAUCUUCCAACUAUAUAACCACUCUAUUUUUCCAGGGUUCAGUUGGAGCCUGUUGUUCCCCAUCCAAAUCCCAUAGCUUGGCACCGUAGAAGAAUAUCAUAUCACUUACUAUCACUAGGAUGAAAAUUUAGAACCGGAUAUUAUUAGGAUAUUAGUGAUACUUCAUCCCAUGGUGACAGAAGAUCUCAGCCGGAAUCUGAUAUUAAAAAAGGCAUCAAAAAAGAGAGAAAUGAACCCUGUUUGGUAGCACCCCACAAAAGAAAGGCCUUAAUCUCUCACUCCUUAUCAACACCAAUUGUCAGAGAAAGGAAUGAGCCAACACAAAACUGUUCUACACCUCCCAAUUCCUUAAGUUGUCCCCAAAAGAAUACCGUGGCUGAUAGAAUCAAAAGCUACUGAGAAGGUUAAGGUAGGAUGCACCACAUCCAUCCUGUUCUUGCCAGAUUGCUUGAUCAUUUUCAGUUCCCUCAUCCAUGUGUCAUAGGGAAUAUUGCGCAUCGGCACAAUCCUGUAUAAGGCUCUGGCCGAUUCCCUAUUCCAGACAAUCUCCUGAAAGUUCUUUAAUUGGUUGACACAUCUGCAAAAUAUCUUCCCUGUCUUACUGGGUGGUAGAAGAAUACUUCCAUAGGUAACCUGGCUCCAUGCCAUGGAGGGCUUUAUAGGUCAUAACUAAUACCUUCAACUGUAUUGGAAGCAAAUUGGCACCUAAUACAAUUCAUGGAGCAAAAGUAUUAGAUACAUCCUUCUUUGGGCAUCCAAACUUGCUCAUGCACACUAGCUCAGACUUCUGGCUAUUUCUCAAGGGUAGCCCCAUAUACAAUGCUAUGUAAUCUUCUAAACAGGAGUUGACCAGAACAUGAGUGACCAAGCAGAGAGUCUUCCUAUCCAAGAAAUGGAAUAACUGUCCCAUAACACAAACUUCAGCAAAGGUUUUCUUAGCCAUGGCUGCCACCUGCUCUGAGUCCGAGGACUCCUGGAUUAAGUACCAUGUCUGUCAGUAUUUUACCACCCACCCAAAUGAUAAGCUCCUGGAUAUAGCCACUCUAUUUUUCCAGGGUUCAGUUGGAGCCUCUUGUUCCUCAUCCAAACCCCAUAGCUUGGCACCGUAGAAGAAUAUCACAUCACUUACUAUCACUAGGAUGAAAAUUUAGAACCGGAUAUUAUUAGGAUAUUAGUGAUACUUCAUCCCAUGGUGACAGAAGAUCUCAGCC